GACGAACGCUGGCGGCGUGCUUAACACAUGCAAGUCGAACGGAAAGGCCCUGCUUUUGUGGGGUGCUCGAGUGGCGAACGGGUGAGUAACACGUGAGUAACCUGCCCUUGACUUUGGGAUAACUUCAGGAAACUGGGGCUAAUACCGGAUAGGAGCUCCUGCUGCAUGGUGGGGGUUGGAAAGUUUCGGCGGUUGGGGAUGGACUCGCGGCUUAUCAGCUUGUUGGUGGGGUAGUGGCUUACCAAGGGUUUGACGGGUAGCCGGCCUGAGAGGGUGACCGGCCACAUUGGGACUGAGGUACGGCCCAGACUCCUACGGGAGGCAGCAGUGGGGAAUAUUGCACAAUGGGCGGAAGCCUGAUGCAGCAACGCCGCGUGCGGGAUGACGGCCUUCGGGUUGUAAACCGCUUUCGCCUGUGACGAAGCGUGAGUGACGGUAAUGGGUAAAGAAGCACCGGCUAACUACGUG
rnacentral:rRNA from 1 species